ACGGCUAUAUCACGUGGAAACGCCGUUUCUCGUACGAUCACCGAAGUUAAGCAGCGUCGAGCGUAGAUGGGUGACCGCUUGGAAAUACCAGCUGCUGUAAG